GAGUAAGUGAUAUAUUAUUGAUUUCUAUCUUAAUCUCUGAUGUCAAUUGGCAAUAAUCCAACUGUUAUCUUUCUUACAUUAUAGGAAAAAGAAGUAAGUGAUAAUGUGUACUAUUACUCAAUGACAUAUUCCUGCCUUCCUCUCUGAUGUUAAUUAACAUUCAUUUUUUUCCCACC